UAUUUUUUCAAUUAAGAGUUUCAUUUGACCAGACUCAGAUCUCAGACUCCUGACCUCAAGUGAUUGGCCUGCCUCAACCUCCAAAAGUGCUGGGAUUACAGGUGUGAGCAACCAUGCCUGACUCAGAAAAUGUUAAUAGAUGAAUUGGCUGAAGUAGCUAAAUAGAAUAGGAAGAGGUAGAAGAGAUAGGGUUUUCUUCAUGGGAACCAGGGCACGUUGUUUGAUUUGUCUGGGCUUCUAUUCCUCUAGUUAUAAUGCAAGGACAAUAGAUGGUUUUAAUCUCCCUACAGCACUCACAUUUUAAGGUCUGACGGUGAAAGUUGUGGCAAGAACACUAUUAGAAUACCCUGUUCCUUUUCUAGCAUUCAAAUCCAGCUUCUGUGGAGCACCCUCCUUUCACCAAUGUUUCACAGGAACAAAGGGAAAAAUCUUGAAGGCUGCCUGGAUUUAAACUAGACAAACAACUUGAAAUAACUCCAAAAGGAAUAAAAAUAACCCAAAUCUGGACUGCCAUGUGAGAGCUGUGAUGAAGAAAGUCUAAAAUGAUGAGGAAUCUUCAACUGGAAAGAUGAAAGAUGGAGAAAAUAAGAAGCCUGGAAAAUCGAGACUGUGGUUAGAGGAAUAUGGGUCCAUUGACCUUGUCCUGGGAGGUGAGACUGAGAGGAAGUUGAAAGCAACUUGACAAGAUCUGGACACUGAGGAAGUGCGUCUCUUAUCCGCCUCUUUAGAAUCGAGGUCAACAGAAUAGAUGCUGUUAAGUUUCAUGGUAGGUACCAUUUAUGUAGCACUUACUAUGGGCUAGGUCUUUUUGUCAAUUGUUAACUGUAACAGGAGAUGGAUAUUUAUAGACCCCUUUUAUAGGUGAAGAAAUUGAGUCUGAGAGUUUCAAGUAUUAAUAAAAUGUGCCGACUAGUAAGGGGGCACCACUGAGAUUCACACACAGGGCUUUCUUGUACCAAAGGAGAUAUUUCCUUAUCCCCUAUGCUAUUCUGUCAGCUAAAAAUAAAAGUGUCUAUAGCAAUACAACGGGCUGUCCCAUCCAUUGGACACGAUUGUUUCUUCUAAUAAGGACUCAUUAUUACUCCUAGUUCUACUCCCCUUAAUGUAAUUAUGAUCAAUUUUCAUGUUGCAAAUGAUUUUCAGUAUCUCUUCAAAUUAUCUUUAUUACUUCUCUGAAAAUUCAGGCUUAAUUUAUUGACAAGUUGUCAAAAUUGUCCUUUAACUUCUCAGUGAUCAGCAAAAUCACACGGAA
rnacentral:lncRNA from 1 species